UGGAAAAAGAGACAUGAAUGAACGCCUGCAAUGAUACUUUCUGACAAGCAGUUGAUACAAGAGAAGGAAAGGAGAUUAACAGCAGUGAGCAGAAUUUCCAACAACAGGAUUUUGUAUUUAUGACUUCUAAUUACAGACUUCUGUUGCCCGCAUAAAUCAAAGAUACCUACACAAGGCAAAAGGAUACUUUUCUUCUGUAUUUUUUGAGAUCAAAGAAACUGCAAUGUCUAGGAAACAAAGCCAGAAGGAUUCAUUUUUGAUUUGCAGUCCAAUACUGUACUGGCUCAGGAAAGAGCUUUCGAGAACAUGGAAGAGAAGAUAAAUGCAGUGCGUGCAAUAGUUCCCAAUAAAAGCAACAAUGAAAUCAUCCUGGUUUUGCAGCACUUUGAUAAUUGUGUGGACAAAACAGUACAAGCAUUCAUGGAAGGUAGUGCCAGUGAAGUACUCAAAGAAUGGACAGUAACAGGCAAGAAAAAGAACAAAAAGAAGAAAAGCAAACCAAAACCUGCAGCAGACGCAAGUAACAGUAGCCCAGAUUCCAGUAAAUCGGUUUCCAUUCAAGAGGAAUAGUCUAUAUUAAUGGUUACCAUGUCAAUAGUGCCAUCAAUGAUACUGAGUCUGUGGACCCACUCAGUGAAGGUUUGGAGACACUUUCAAUAGAUGCCAGAGAACUGGAGGAUCCUGAGUCUGCCACACCAGAUCUGCUAGUUAGAACAGGAUCCAUGCAGGAGAAUGGUGUCUCUGAUUUGGGGUCCAAGUCUUUGACUAUGUACUCUAUUCAGAAUUCUCGACAAUCCAGGAAUGCUGCCAAAUCUCUCUCAAGACCUACCACGGCACCUCACUUUUCAAAUCUGGGGAUGGAAGAUGUUCCCUUCUCCUCCACCAAUAAAAAGUUAGGUUCCAAUAUAGAAAAAUCUAUAAAAGACCUCCAGCGCUGUACAGUGUCUCUUGCACGGUAUCGAGUUGUUGUUAAAGAAGAGAUGGAUGCUUCCAUAAAGAAAAUGAAACAAGCUUUUGCUGAAUUGCAGAGCUGUUUAAUGGAUCAAGAACUGGCAUUGCUUGCUGAAAUGGACAAAGUAAAAGCUGAAGCAAUGGAAAUUUUGCUACGCUGACAAAAGAAAGCUGAACUUCUAAAGAAGAUGACUGAUGUGGCUGUUCGAAUGUCAGAGGAGCAACUGGUUGAGCUCAGAGCUGUUAUCAAGCACUUCGUUAGCGAACGUAAAUAUGACAAGGAUCUGGAGCAAGUAGCCCGGUUCACCUGUGAUGUGGAGACCCUAAAAAAGAGCAUUGAUUCCUUUGGACAAGUGUCCCAUCCAAAGAAUAGCUACUCAACCAGAUCCCGAUGUAGCUCAGUUACAUCUGUAUCCUUGAGUAGCUCGAGUGAUGCCUCUGCUCCCAGCCUUACAAGUGCUAACAAGAAAAACUCUACACCAGGCGAGACUCCUCCAGCCAUAGCAAACUCCAGUAGCCGGCCCUACCAGCCACAUCGGGAGGUAUUGCCGGGGAAUACGCCAGGAGGACAAGGCUACAGGCCACAAGGCCAAAAGUCCAAUGAUCCUAUGAACCAAGGUCGACAUGACAAUGUGGGUCAUUACAGAAACAGCUCGUGGUAUUCAUCUGGUUCUAGGUAUCAGUGUUCCGCCCCAGGCACCAGAAAACACGAGUGAAUGGGGCCAGGCUCACUCUGCAGGGACCAGUGGAACUGGAGCCAGCAUGGAACCUAGCCCACCCAAGCCCUCAUUCAAAAACGGGCUCCCCCAGCGCAAACCAAGGACCUCUCAGACGGAAGCCGUGAACUCCUAA